GGAUCUUUAGCUCAAAUGGUAGAGCAAUUGAGAGUACCAAUCUCAAGAGAUGGUGGUUCGAAUCCACCAAGGUCCU